ensembl:lncRNA
UGGAGGGACAUUGUUUUUGUGACGCUAUACGUUGUACAAUCAAGUCCAUAUUUCUGACAACAAUACUUUCUUGCUUUUUUCUUCCUAUCUCAGAUCGGUUUAGACAACUUGAGGUUCUACAGCAGGUCACUACAGCAUUCUCCAGCUUUAUAGGAUCUUCCUCCUCUCCAAUGAAAGCAACACAAGGAAAAGACCUGCCCCCUGAGGCCCAGGAGAGGAGAAAGCGCAUGGGAAUGCUGUUCAGACGAGCAUCAAAAAAGUCACUUGGCCAAAUACACAGGAAUAAAACCCAUGGCCUGACUAUACCUGCUGCCAACUGUGUUCCUGCAUCUGAGUCACAACAACCCACACCCAGCCCUAGAGACAAAAACGUCUGCUUAAAAAGAGUUAAAGCAGGCUCUCUAGAGACUGCGUCUCUGAGUCCUUUGGCAGAGGAACAAGGAAAUGAUCCAGACCUUCAAUCCCAACAUCCCUUGGUUUAUUUACUAUCCCAGGAGGGAGCGUUCAAAUCUGCACCCCUGAGAGAAGGUCACCCCUUGGCAGCUAAAUCUUUUUUACAGAGGAAGAAGAGCCAAGGACAGAUCAGGGAAUCAUUUGAAAUGGAGGAGAUACAGAGCUUUGAUGAAAGCAGUGUCGCAGUGAGCUACGUGGGAGGAGCAGAAAACUUUGUGAGAGGUUUAAUGCGGACCAACAGCUGCCAGUCAGACAGCAGUGGCUUUCUAGAAGAACCCUUUAUACCACUGGUCCCUCAUUUGGCAUCAUCAGGAUCUGAAAUCAUCAAGGCUCGUUCAGGGUUUUCAGAAAGGAGUGCCGACAAUCAGGGCAGUGAGAAACCAGAGUCUUCUGCUUUUUCUCCUCAUACUGACAAAUCUCCCAUCCCUGCCUCAACAAUGACCUCUUGUGGUGUUAAUAAAUAUCUCCCUUCCUCACCCUGUCCUUCACCAGAUUCUACUAUAGAAUCGAGCUCGUCCAUAGCUUCUGCCUCACUGCCUCUCUCAAGUUGUGACCUGCAAAUUGCAAACACUGAAAGAGCACCAAAUCAGGAUCAGUCUCCACCCGCUUCAAUACAAAGUUCUUCUUUUGGUGCCAUAUCGUCUCAGCUUCCCACUUCUCCUCAUUUACCUCACUCUGCUAAUAGUGAAAUCUGUUCUCCACCCACGUUGGUCUCUCCCAAAUUAAUCAAGUUAAUCUCACAAACUCCCGAAAGCAACAAAAACAAAUCUUUUCUUCCAGAUUCUGAUGGAAUAAGUUUUUCAAAGUCAACUGCUGGUACACAAAAGGAAGAGGAUGAAAGUCUCCCUUUGCUCUCUUUUCAUUUGGACAAAGCUAAUCCAUCAGCACCACCUGUUUUGGACUUCUCAAAAUUAGAGGAAGGUUUUCCCACACCUUCCUCCCUUUCUUAUAAACUUUACAUCCCAGUUUGUCAGCCUGAUGUGUCAUCACAAUCACAUCAUCAAAAUGAUCUCAUAGACCCAGCUUCAGGAAAAAUUUCAGACCAGUCAGAGCAGGUUGUCUCUGAACAGCAUAGUACAGUCUUACCCCCAAAGAACAGACAGCAUUCUCACAAUGAUAACAAUGAUCUUGCUCUAUCCUGUCAGAUCCAAAAUGGUACAAAUGCCAAGAUGAAUGAUAUACUGUUGGAAAAAUUUCAGAGGAAUGAAAAACAACAGGAAGAAAGUGAGGGACAUGGUCCCCAAGUUUCUCAAGAAGCUGUCGUUUACAUCUCAGACACAGAAACUCCCGCUAAUCUAUCAGAAGGUUCUGCACCUUCACCUUCUGAAGUAGAAAGCCAGUCAGAAAUGGAUACACUGGUCAACUCCUCUAUUGUGCAUGAUGACAUGUCAGCAAAGACAAAACAAAACGAUAUUAGAAAACUCUAUCAAAAACACGUUGCUGGUAAAGAAAGUGAAUCACCCGGGAGUUACAUAUGUUUACACGAUCAAGUUGCACAGGCACACAGCAGAGAUGAAGUAAAACCCAAUAAUCUCAUUGCGAUUGAGAACUUAGAUCUGGUAUUUGAAACCUCAGUAGAUGACUCUGAUAAUGAGAAUAUAGAUUUAGAUGACUUUUUUCAGCAGCUUGAUACUGAAGGGCGAGUCUAUUGGGCAGAACCCAUCCAGUUGUCCAAUCCAACCCCUGAAGCGUCAGGAAGCUUUGAAGCCUCAGACGGAUCUCCUGGAAAUCUUCCUGUAGAUUCAUUUUCUUCCACAGGCAAUGCCAUCCCUUUACCGUUGUCAUACUCAGCAAACACAGACAGAGGCCAGACCUCAAGAGCUGCAAAUGGCUCCUUGGAUGUACCUUCCUCAUUGACAUCCACAUCCCAGUCUGCAAUCCUGAAUGUCAGACCAUCAAAUCGUUCUGUUUCAGUUCAAAUGCCGUCAUAUCUGUCUUCUCAUAUUGUCCACAGAAAGGAUGUUCCAUACACUCCUGAGUCAAAAAGCACUCGUCUCCCUAUCAUUCUACCUUUGGACACCUCCAGCCCCUUUCGUGCUGUCCAGUCAUGGACAGACCUGCAAAUUCAGCGCAAUACUCUGACCAAGAAUUUAUCAUAUGGGGCUCUUCAUGCUGUUCCAAACAAAACGAAUUUGUCCAUGAGUUGCCCAGGAAUGACACAAAAACCAGCACAUCAAGAGCUCUUCUCUUCAUCUCCUUCUUUCUUUCACCUGUCUAACAAUUGGAAAUCACAGGAGACUAUCCCUGAGAUGGCUAUAAAUUGUAAGACAGAGUCAGUAUCUGUAGAUACAGGAUUGUGGCCGGAUGAGCAGGAAGAAGACAUGAACAGAAAUGGAAAUGAAACUCAGAAGAAACUUUGGGAGGGCAAUCAGCAAGACACCAUGGCAUGCUGCUGCUCCUGUGACCAUACCUGCUGUAUUCACAAGAGUAACAACAAGGAACACACUUUCGGAAACAGUCCUUACUCUCUGGAUGAGCUGGAGGAGAUGUUGCUGUGUCUGCAGCAGUUUUGGUCUGUGCUAAGUAACAUGGAGGAGCAACUCUCUGAAGACCAGGCUGCUGUGUACAGUUGUCUCUCUGACCAGGACAGAGAGAAGAUUCGGGACAUCGAAGAGCUGAGACGUGCAGUAAAACAAGAGGCUGGGGAGCUGGAGAGGCAGUUAAAAGAACUGGCCUAUGAGUAUGAUGAAAGCUUGAAAAUGAAGAUGCACAGAUUGUUGGAUGAACAAUCUCUCCUCUGCUCUCAACUUAAAGUCUUUCUACCUGGAACAGUCCCCACAUCAUCAUCUAACCCCAUGCCCAACAGGACAGUAGCCACUCAGUGCUCUUUGCUACCCUUGCUCACCGCAGCUGACAUACAGAGUAGCCACAUUUCUGAUUGGAAAGGCUGGAAGACUCUGAAACCUGGACUGGAUUCCAACAGACAGUCAGUUCCUGGGUCUGAGAGCAUCUGUGAUGGUCAGGGCGGUUCUCCCACCAAAGCAGACAAGCUAGAUAUAGUAGGCUUCUUGCAGAGACUGAAGGAGACUUUGCAUCAUUCUGUGAACACAGACUCAUCAGAAUAAGAG